rnacentral:rRNA from 1 species
GAGUUUGAUUAUGGCUCAGGACAAACGCUGGCGGCGUGCAUAACACAUGCAAGUCGAACGAAAUCUACAUGAUUUAGUGGCGAACGGGUGAGUAACACGUGAGAAACCUGCCUUACACAGAGGGAUAGCCGUUGGAAACGACGAUUAAUACCUCAUGACACCGUGACAUCGCAUGAUGAUGCGGUCAAAGAUUUAUCGGUGUAAGAUGGUCUCGCGCCUGAUUAGCUGGUUGGUGGGGUAACGGCCUACCAAGGCGACGAUCAGUAGCCGAUCUGAGAGGGUGGACGGCCACAUUGGGACUGAGACACGGCCCAAACUCCUACGGGAGGCAGCAGUGGGGAAUUUUGCACCAAUGGGGGAAACCCUGAUGCAGCGACGCCGCGUGAACGAAGAAGGCCUUCGGGUUGUAAAGUUCCUGUCCCUUGGUGAAGAUAAUGACCGUACCCAGNAGANGCC